rnacentral:lncRNA from 13 species
GCCUUAUAUCUGCUUUUUUAGGUGUCAGUUAACUGGCAAGUAUGGAACUCUGAAUUGAAAGUGCUCAAAAGCAGAGGCUAAAGUUUGUGAAAAUAAGCAGGCUCGUUAUGCAGACAACCAUUUUAGUAUUCACUUGAACAACAGGACUUUUGUCAACACAAGAAAAAUGAAGAAUAAUGUUGCACUUUUCUGCUCCUCAGGCGGGACUCAGGACUCUGGCUAAUCUCAGGUUCUCUGUACACACUGGAUACAUGAUUGAAUGGGGCUAAUCAAUCAAUCAAUCGUUUAUGUUUUACCAAGUCUCAGGUCAAACCCCUAAGUUCCAGCUUCAACAACUCUGCAGGGCCCAUCAUGCUGAUGCCUCCAACUGCACCCAGUACAGUAUUUGGCUCCCAACGUGUGCCAAAUAAAAGCCCAAAGACUGAAGGGCUAGUCAUCUUCUGAGCUCCUUGCACCAUGCUAAGAGACAGAAAAGCCAUCAUCUAUAUCUUCAAAGAAGUUUCAACGUAGCUGAUGGAAAUAAGUCAUAUCAACAUGAACAGAGA